rnacentral:rRNA from 1 species
UCCAGACUCCUACGGGAGGCAGCAGUGGGGGAUAUUGCACAAUGGGGGGAACCCUGAUGCAGCGACGCCGCGUGGGUGAAGGAGCGUUUCGGCGCGUAAAGCCCUCUCGGUAGGGAAGAAGGAGGACGGUACCUGACUAAGAAGCCCCGGCUAACUACGUGCCAGCAGCCGCGGUAAUACGUAGGGGGCAAGCGUUAUCCGGAUUUACUGGGUGUAAAGGGAGCGUAGACGGCAGGGCAAGUCUGGAGUGAAAGCCCGGGGCCCAACCCCGGGACUGCUUUGGAAACUGCCAUGCUAGAGUGCUGGAGAGGUAAGCGGAAUUCCUAGUGUAGCGGUGAAAUGCGUAGAUAUUAGGAGGAACACCAGUGGCGAAGGCGGCUUACUGGACAGUAACUGACGUUGAGGCUCGAAAGCGUGGGGAGCAAACAGGAUUAGAUACCCUAGUAC